rnacentral:rRNA from 1 species
AGAAUCAACGCUGGCGGCGUGCCUCAGACAUGCAAGUCGAACGCGAAGUCCCCUUCGGGGGGCAAGUAGAGUGGCGCACGGGUGAGUAACACGUA